rnacentral:tRNA from 1 species
GUAUGCGUAGCUCAGUUGGUUAGAGUAGUGGUUUGUGGUUCCAUUGGUCGUGGGUUCGAGUCCCAUCGCGUACCCCA